rnacentral:rRNA from 1 species
AAUGAACGUUGGCGGCGUGGAUUAGGCAUGCAAGUCGAGCGUACCCAGCAAUGGGGAAGCGGCAAACGGGGUAGUAAGGCGUCGGUACGUGCCCUCGGGACGAGGAUAGCCACGGGAAACUGUGGGUAAUACUCGAUGACAUCGUGAGAUCAAAGGUGUGAUUCCGCCCGGGGAGCGGCUGACGUGGUAUUAGGUAGUUGGUGGGGUAAUGGCCCACCAAGCCUGGGAUGCCUAGGGGGUGUGAGAGCAUGGCCCCCACCAUUGGGACUGAGAUACUGCCCAGACACCUACGGGUGGCUGCAGUCGAGAAUCUUCGGCAAUGGGCGCAAGCCUGACCGAGCGACGCCGCGUGCGGGAUGAAGGCCUUCGGUUGUAACCGCUGUCAGGGGGAGUGAAAUCAUGGUGGGUUCUCCCAUCAUGUUGACAGAGCCCACGAGGAAGCGCGGGCUAAGUUCGUGCCAGCAGCCGCGGUAAUGUCUAGCAUGC